AGACUAAUUCUUUUAAGUUGAUAAGUAUAUGAAAUCGAGGGAUACUAUAGAUUACCAAAGGCCAGAAGACAUGAAAAGAUGAUGAUCAAUUUACUUCUCAUUCAAUUUAAUGCUGAUCACGUUCUAUCGUAUUUAUUUCAUUAAUUAUCUUGCAAGAGUAAAAAAAGACCUUUCAUCUAGUUAUUUUCUCCACUUAAUUAACGAGCCUUUUCAGCUUCCUUAGACCAUAAAAUGCUUAACAACGUGACAUUAAGAUCGAAGGAUCUCAUUCUCAACCUAUACAAACAAGGUUAUUUAUUUUUUCUCUUUCUGUUUCUGUUUUUUCCCUUGUAUCUUUUUGUUUUUCAUUUUUGAUUUGCUUAAAGUUUUCUUGGUAUUUACAAAAUAUUUUCUAUUUUGGACUAACACUUUCUAAAGCAGUCUUUCGUAAAUUUUCUAUUAUAUAGAUAUGUAUGAAGUUUUUAUACUUGUAAUGCUUAAGUGUGCAAGUCUAGAGAGAAUAAACAAGAAAAAGAAAAGUAAUUCCUUCUAUGAUUUCUACUUUUUUUUUUCUUUUGAAAAAAAAAACAGAAACAAAUUAAAGAUGCUAAUGGAUACUGAUCAGCCUCCGUCGUUUUGCAAGAUUAUAUUAUCUAGAGAAACCGUCAUGAAUAAAAUGCAAUUGCCAUCUUGUUUCGUCAAAGAUAACAAAAAAAUCUUGAGUAAGAAUUGUCUACUAAAAACGAGUGAAGCUGGAAUGUCAUGGGAAGCAAAGAUCGCAAGAAAAAAGCCAAAUUACUUCAUAUGUGAAAAAGAUUGGCCACAAUUUGUGUUGCAUCACCAAGUGGAGCCAAGAGACAUUUUGAUCUUCUCACUCAUUGAAAAAUCAACAUUACAUGUACGUCCAUACACACCAAAAAAUUGUAGAAACAUUACUCGUAAGAGGCAACUUUCUUAUGAAGAACUCAGCAGCAGCAGUAGCUCUGAAGAGGAGAUUGGACCUUCAAAGAGAGUUAAGAAAAUGGAACCAAUAAUAGUAGUAUCCGAUACUGAGGAAGAAUAUGUUGAUAUGUCAUUCAGUGAUGAUGAUGAAGAUGAUCCUCCCUACUCACAUCGUGCAACUUACUAAAAAAAUCCUAAGCGAAAAAAGUGUCAUCAGAUCGGAAGGACGAAGAAGCUCAUAGUGGAAGUGAAGAAUAUGGUCUAAAGAGGAAUAGUCUAUGCAAUAUGGUCAUGAUGCCUAUUAUGAGAUUGUUGUAAAAAGGUCGCACAUGACUUUUAUGACUACUCCAAUUGGAUUCGCCAGAAGGACAUGCAUAGCUAAUCCGAAGAAAAUGAGACUAAUUAAUGAAAAAGGUAAAAAAGAGUGGGAAGUGGAAAUAGUGCAUACUGGGCCAAGGGUUACCAUAAAAAAUGGACGGGCUGAAUUUCGAACAUAUAAUAAGAUAGUUGAUGGUGAGACUUGCCUCUUCGUGUUGAUUACUGCUAGUAUUUUGCAUGUUCAGAAGAUCUCAAUACCUCAUUCCUUGCUAUAUUUUUAGCUACAAUUUUUUGAGUUGUAUUUAACUAUUAUUAUUUGUCUAAGAAAGUAUAUUAGUAAGGACUUAAUAUUGUAAACAUUAUGAAUAU